rnacentral:rRNA from 1 species
UACGUAGGGGGCAAGCGUUAUCCGGAUUCACUGGGCGUAAAGGGAGCGCAGGCGGCACGGCAAGUCUGGUGUGAAAGCCCGGGGCCCAACCCCGGGACUGCAUUGGAAACUGCCGGGCUGGAGUGCCGGAGGGGUAAGCGGAAUUCCUGGUGUAGCGGUGAAAUGCGCAGAUAUCAGGAAGAACACCGGUGGCGUAGGCGGCUUACUGGACGGCAACUGACGCUGAGGCUCGAAAGCGUGGGGAGCAAACAGG